rfam:Triticum aestivum genome assembly, contig: Triticum_aestivum_CS42_TGACv1_scaffold_273786_3DS
CAUCUACUCCCUCCGUCCGGAAAAGCUUGUCCCUCAAAUGGAUGUAUCUAGCACCAAGUUAGUGCUAGAUACAUCCAUUUGAGGGACAAGCCUGGGACAAGCUUUUUCGGACGGAGGGAGUAUAUU